rnacentral:rRNA from 1 species
GGGCCCGCACAAGCGGUGGAGCAUGUGGUUUAAUUCGACGCAACGCGAAGAACCUUACCAGGUCUUGACAUCCCCUGACAACAUCAGAGAUGAUGUAUUUUAUCUUCGGAUAGACAGGGAGACAGGUGGUGCAUGGUUGUCGUCAGCUCGUGUCGUGAGAUGUUGGGUUAAGUCCCGCAACGAGCGCAACCCUUGUUCUUAGUUGCCAGCAGGUAAAGCUGGGCACUCUAAGGAAACUGCCGGUGACAAACCGGAGGAAGGUGGGGAUGACGUCAAAUCAUCAUGCCCUUUAUGACCUGGGCUACACACGUGCUACAAUGGCCUGUACAAAGGGUAGCGAAGCAGUGAUGUGGAGCCAAUCCCGAAAAGCAGGUCUCAGUUCGGAUUGCAGGCUGCAACUCGCCUGCAUGAAGUCGGAAUCGCUAGUAAUCGCGGAUCAGCAUGCCGCGGUGAAUACGUUCCCGGGCCUU